AAAUAUUUUAUUGUAAUUAUAUCCCUCUCACCGGCACCGCAGCAGUCGUCGCGUCGCGCGCCUGAGAAACCUCAGAGAACGUUGUCGUCGCGCGAGAGGCAGCGCGGUCGCCGUCGCCGUCUUCGUCGCGUGAGAGGCAGAACCGUCGCCGUUUUCGUCGCGUCAUCUUCGUCGCCGUUCAGAGGAGAGUCAUCUUCGUCGGCGUCCAGAGGAGAGUUCAGCCUGACAAUAUUACCAUUUUGCCCUUCAUUCUCAGAGAGAUUGCACAGUAGCUGAAAGCCUGAAACAGUGAAAACAACACUCUCCUCAGAAACCAGCAACUCAACUAACUAUUCAAUACAUCACAAAAACAGAACCUUUCAUUCUCUUUCGUUUUGUGUUGUAUUGUUCAUUACUUCACUGCCAAUAAUUCUUCUCGCAAUUUCCUUUUCCCGGGAAAAAAAAAAGUAUCCUUUUUCUCAACCAACAACAAGGUUUUGUUUCCAGUGGGUCCUCCUCGAUCUUGUGG
rnacentral:lncRNA from 1 species